CGGACGUUUGCACGGCGUGAACGGAGCGAGCCCGAGCCGUGGCUUGAGACGUCGCCGCCGUCCUGAUCCGUGGAUCAGGUCCGGUGCUUUUCGGUAGCGUCGGCAGUCCACGUAGUAAAUGCAGAAAGUGGGCCGCUGGGGGGGGGGAGGCUGUGAAGUGGAUCUUGCAUUCUUCCCAGGCGGCGAAGUAGUGGGGAAAUCUCCUGCGGCAAAAGGGGAUUGUGCGGUCCAGCGAGUUUGCAGGUGCUCCGACGGCCAUGGAGUCUUGAUGCAGCCGAUAAACAGCCGCAAAAAUUGUGUGGGUGAACUAGAACACUGCUAGAGGAGGUUAACGAUAACAGCAUCACCAUGGAGCCUGUACGAUUCCGGUCAUUGCGCCGGCGGAGGUUGACCUGCCAGCACCGGCGGCUUCAAGUGCAGAUGGCCAAAUCUGUCGUGACGGCGCCACUGCAGAGCCUGCAAGUGCAUAUAAGGCUCAAGGUUCAGAGCACUCCAUAGAGCAAGUGGAUGCAAAAACCCUGGGGUGGACACAAAGAGUGCAUGUCCGUGCUGCCGCUCUAGGCAGAGCUCCUUGCCCGGACAGGGUUACAGCCCUGGAGAAGUCCGUCCGGCAAUUUGCAGGGGAACCGGAAGACAUUGUCAUUGUGCCAAAGAUAUGAACAAGUUUCGACACACUUGGUGAGGCCUAAGAUCUUUACAAUGUAUAUUUGUGGGAGAAAGGAUUUGGCAUUAGAUAUGGAAAGAGCAGGCUAAAUGUGAACCGGACGAAGUGCAUGCAAGAGAUAGUCUGUGGAUGUGCGGGGAAGCCAAUAGUUGAAAAUACUCGUUCUUGCCAGUGUGAAUGCGCUGCCCUCAUAAGAUUUUUGCUACCGGCAAGGGCCGUGUCAAGUGCAGACGCUCAGAUCUAUGCGGUGGAAGCCGCUCCAGAGGCCGCGAGUGGAGACAGGGGCGAAGCAUCCGAGCACUCCAUAGAGCAGAUUGACCCGAAGGCUCCUGGGGUGGAUGCGAAGAGUGCGGAUUGGUGCUGCUAAGCUACGCAGAGCCCCAUGCCCUAAUAGGAUUUCGGCAAUGGAGAAAUCAGUCCUGGGAUUUGCCGAGGAUAAUCGUGCCGAAAUUAGGAACAAGCUUUGAUAGACUCGGUGAAGCCUAUGAUUUUAACAAUCUGUAUUCAUGGGAGAAAGGAUUCGGCAUUAUAUAUGGAAAGAGCAGGCUAAACGUUAAUCGAACAAAACACAUGCAAGAGAUAGUGUGUGGCUGUGCGUUAUGGCAAUUUGUGUCCAUUUUUCUGGAGUUUGCAUCUGACUCAGUGAAUUUUGCGCGUACCAUUUUGUGAGAUAGUUCAUUGUGCCUGAUUACACGGCAAUUCCAAAUUCUGUUUUGUAGGCCUGGCAUGUGUUGGGUCAUCACCACCACAGGGUUUUAGGAGCACAUCAGAACCAGUUCAGUCUGGUGAAGCAAGAGGCAAUGCAGCUAGGGCGGAUGACAUGCUGCCACUGAACACAUCCACAACAGAAGCUGUUAGGAGGCAUCAGAAUUAGAUGUGCGUCAAAAGAGAUAUGCAAAUAGGGGCAGCAGGAAGUGUCGCCAGAGAAUACGGCGUACACCAUCAAGCAGGCACUCAUCAUCCUCAGGGAGCUCAGCUGAAGAUGGAGAUAAUGUUGACAUCUGCAAACAAACUACGAGAUUUCGAUGACAGAAUGCUUCAUCCCAUGUUGCUGCGGUUGGUUCGGCAAACCAACCACCAAGCGUGCUAAGGGGGGCAACGAUGCCAGUGGGCAUGACCGUGCGUGGAAGCAGCAGUGAAUUGUCUUCCCAGGAAUUACAAUUGCAGCUAGAGGAGAGAGCUCGGCUGCAGCAAUGCGUACUUCAGCAGGAGACGAUGCAGACAUGGUUGGGAACGAAUUGGAGUGGUGGUACCAGCUCAAAUUGAUUGGAAGGCCAAUCUGUGGGGGAUCCACAAGUCUACGAACAGGAGGAGCAGUGUUGGGGGAGAUUGGUAGCUCCCAUGAGCGGAUGUCAUAAAGGAGCUCACUAGCGGCGUUAGUCCAGAAUCCACGAUGGGACGGCUCGUAUAGUCUAUCUCCAUUUGAUCCGUGCUAAGGAUAGCUGACGGGGUAAAAGAGAUAGCAUCUAGGUAGUGGGCCAUGGGCCAUAAUAAAAAAUCGAAUAGAUAAGUUAUAACUGUACCUAUACCUCCUGUGGCGCUCAUCACGAGAGAAACUGGUGGUAUAGAUACCGAGAGCACUGCUGCUCGGGAUCACAACAACACUUUCGUGUAGAAUGUGCCUUUCACAUUAGCGUAAAGAUAGUAGAGAAAACAA